UGUCUUCAGGGCAGGGUGCAAUUCCCGAUCGGCGGUACAGUCCGCGAGCGCGCGAGCGCAGGACUUGGUGCAAUUCCAAGACCGACAGUAGAGUCUGGAUGAAAGAAGACG
rnacentral:ncRNA from 2 species